AUAAGGUCUUGACAACUUUAUUUUUUUCUUAAGGUUUGCUCAAACUUUCACAUGGCAUCAGAACUCCUAGAUCUUCAUAGACCUCAACAGGGCAGUCUUAUGCUGGUUUUCAGUCUAAGUUCCUUUUCUUUUCAUAAUUGUCAUUUUCUUGUCCUUUCUUGGCACCACCACUUCUUUCAUAAUUGUCAUUUUCAUAAUUGCCAUUUUCUUGUCCUUUCA
rnacentral:misc_RNA from 1 species